rnacentral:rRNA from 1 species
CCUACGGGAGGCAGCAGUGGGGAAUUUUGGACAAUGGGCGCAAGCCUGAUCCAGCCAUGCCGCGUGCGGGAAGAAGGCCUUCGGGUUGUAAACCGCUUUUGUCAGGGAAGAAAAGGUUCUGGUUAAUACCUGGGACUCAUGACGGUACCUGAAGAAUAAGCACCGGCUAACUACGUGCCAGCAGCCGCGGUAAUACGUAGGGUGCAAGCGUUAAUCGGAAUUACUGGGCGUAAAGCGUGCGCAGGCGGUUAUGCAAGACAGAGGUGAAAUCCCCGGGCUCAACCUGGGAACUGCCUUUGUGACUGCAUAGCUAGAGUGCGGCAGAGGGGGAUGGAAUUCCGCGUGUAGCAGUGAAAUGCGUAGAUAUGCGGAGGAACACCGAUGGCGAAGGCAAUCCCCUGGGCCUGCACUGACGCUCAUGCACGAAGACGUGGGGAGGACAAACAAGGAGUAGUAUACCUCGGUAGUACCACCGACCCGUAAACCGAACUAGUACAACUAGGUUGGUUGGGUAGGGUUUCGUUCUCUAGUAACGUAG